GAGGUUUGGCAAGUGAAUUGGAAGAACAGCUACAAGCGUUAGGAAAUAAGUUGAGAAAAGAAAAUACGGAAAAAGGGAAGCUAGAAAUUGAAUUAUCCCUUCGAUCGUCAAGUGAAUACAAGAUCGAUGUAAGUCAGAGAUUCAACGAAAAAUCAUUAAAAUUAAGUGAAAAUGAGGAGAAAAUAGUUUCAAAUGCUCAUCACAAAUGGAAACUUAGAGCCGCUGAAACCGAAUUUGAUAAGAAGCUAGAAGAAAUAUUGGACCAGAAAGAAGAAUACCUGCAGGACAUAAAAGACCUUACAAAGAUUGUCCGUGGGCAGGAAUUACAAAUUAAACACCUUCUGGUCAUAAUAGACAAACUGAGACCGCAUAUUGAAUCGAAGG